rnacentral:rRNA from 1 species
UACGUAGGGGGCAAGCGUUGUCCGGAAUUAUUGGGCGUAAAGCGCGCGCAGGCGGCUAUUUAAGUCUGGUGUUUAAACCUUGGGCUCAACCUGAGGUCGCACUGGAAACUGGGUGGCUUGAGUACAGAAGAGGAAAGUGAAAUUCCACGUGUAGCGGUGAAAUGCGUAGAUAUGUGGAGGAACACCAGUGGCGAGGGCGACUUUCUGGGCUGUAACUGACGCUGAGGCGCGAAAGCGUGGGGAGCAAACAGG